GCCUGAAAAGAUAAACAUGAAUUUAGAUUCCAUUCAUCGGUUAAUCGAGGAAACACACCUCUUCGGCAUGCAGCAGUCGGGGUUGGUGAGAUCAUCGUGCGACCUGGCGGCACCUGCCCCGGCCCGCGGGGACCCCCGCAGCUCCUGUCCGUCUCCUCUCGGGCCGCAGUCUCCUGCCGCCCUCAGUGGCCAUGCUCCCUCCUGGAGCACCAGCGAGUGGGAUAUCGGCGCUGAGCUUCGCCUGCGGGAGCUGGAGGAGGUCAAGGCCCGCGCCGCUCAGAUGGAGAAGACCAUGCGGUGGUGGUCGGACUGCACUGCUAACUGGAGGGAAAAGUGGAGUAAAGUUCGAGCCGAAAGGAACAGCGCCAGGGAGGAAGGCAGGCAACUCAGAAUCAAGUUAGACAUGGCCGUGAAAGAGCUGAGUGCUCUGAAAAAGAAGCAGCCUUUGCCUCAUCCGGCGGAGGCCACCCAGGACCGAAAGCUUCCUGGUUUCCCCGAAGUGGCCCGUGCACAGAGAGACCCAUUGCAAAUUGGUUCCAAAACGUGUGAGUCCAUCAGAGAGUGUUUGGGAAAAAGAGAAUUUCCCACCAAGGAGAACGCAAAUAGUAAGGAAGGGAGUUUAAUUAUUGACCCAUUAAAAUUAAGUGAGGGGAUGAAACUCAGUCUAGACUGUCCUGAUUUAUUCAAGAAUGGCAUUUCUGAAAAUUGUACAGUGAGACCUGGAUUAAGACUGCAGGCAAUAAAUCUGCCUCUGGAGAAUGAAGUGCCUGAAAUUUCAGCUUUGCAGGGGCAUUUGGAUGAUUUCCAAAAAGUCUUAUGGAAAGAAAGGGAAAUGCGCUUAUCUUUGGAAAAAGAGAUAGAACGACUGGAGUCGGCUUUGUCUGUGUGGAAAUGGAAGUAUGAAGAACUGAAAGAAUCAAAGGCAAAAAGUCUGAAACAGUUUGACAUUCUUCAUGGUCAACAUAAAAAUGAAAUGGAAGAAGUAUCAGGACUUAUAAGGGAAGAAUCAAAAUCUCAAAACAGCAAUGACAGAGUGGUCUAUGAGUUAAGAGCAGAGCUAGAGAGAUUGCAGGCUGAAAAUACAUCUGAGUGGGACAAGAGGGAGCUACUUGAAAAGGAAAAACAAGGACUGGAGAGAGAAAAUAGAAGGUUAAAGGUCCAGGUGAAAGAAAUGGAAGAACUCCUGCACAGGAGAAAUAGAUUAAGUGAAAACUCGGAAGGUCCUGAUUUCAAGACAUCAGGAGUCGAGCCACAGGAAAAAAACAAGGAACUGGUGGACCUUCAGCAUGCCUACUGUAAGCUAAGCAGACAGUACCAGGCAAAGACAGCAGAACUGACUCGCGCCAACAACCUCGUGGAUCAAAAUGAAGCCGAAGUGAAGAAACUGAGACUUCAAGUCGAAGAACUAAAAUGGGGACUCAACCAAAAAGAAGACAAGCUUGAUGAUUUCCUGAAUCAGAUCCAUAAGCUCCAGAGAUCUUUGAAUGAACAGAAAGAAACAAAUGGAAACUUGGAAGUUAAACUCAGGCAGUUACAAAAUUGUUAUCCACACAUAUAUGUCAUAGAUAAAUAAAUGGAUCGGUGAAUGGACAAACAGAAGGAAAAAGAAAG
rnacentral:lncRNA from 1 species